CUUAUGGAGAGUUUGAUCCUGGCUCAGGACGAACGCUGGCGGCGUGCCUAAUACAUGCAAGUCGAGCGAAUGACAGAGAAGCUUGCUUCUCUUGAUUUAGCGGCGGACGGGUGAGUAACACGUGGGCAACCUACCUUAUAGAUGGGGAUAACUCCGGGAAACCGGGGCUAAUACCGAAUAACUCCAAGCACCUCCUGAUGCUUGGCUGAAAGACGGUUUCGGCUGUCACUAUAAGAUGGGCCCGCGGCGCAUUAGCUAGUUGGUAAGGUAACGGCUUACCAAGGCAACGAUGCGUAGCCGACCUGAGAGGGUGAUCGGCCACACUGGGA
rnacentral:rRNA from 1 species